CCAAUAGCGUAUAUUAAAGUUGUUGCAGUUAAAAAGCUCGUAGUUGAAUUUUGGGGUUAGUAGGCUGGUCGUGCCACUGGUAUGUACUGGUCUUACUGACUUCUCCUUUCUGAAGAACUGUAAUGCCAUUAAUUUGGUGUUGCAGGGAAUCAGGACUGUUACUUUGAAAAAAUUAGAGUGUUUAAAGCAGGCUAACGCUUGAAUACAUUAGCAUGGAAUAAUGAAAUAGGACGUUCGAUCCUAUUUUGUUGGUUUCUAGGAUUGACGUAAUGAUUAAUAGGGAUAGUUGGGGGCAUUAGUAUUCAAUCGUUAGAGGUGAAAUUCUUGGAUUUAUUGAAGACUAACCACUGCGAAAGCAUUUGCCAAGGAUGUUUUCAUUAAUUAAGAACGAAAGUUAGGGGAUCGAAGACGAUCAGAUACCGUCGUAGUCUUAACCAUAAGCUAUGCCGACUAGGGAUCGGAUGAUGUUAAUUUUUUAAUGACUCAUUCGGCGCCUUACG
rnacentral:rRNA from 1 species